AUUGAACGCUGGCGGCAGGCCUAACACAUGCAAGUCGAACGAGUGGCGGACGGGUGAGUAAUGUCUGGGAAACUGCCUGAUGGAGGGGGAUAACUACUGGAAACGGUAGCUAAUACCGCAUACCAUUCGCUGUGCCCAGAUGGGAUUAGCUACUAGGAGGGUUAAAGGCUCACCUAGGCGACGUUCCAUAGCAGUUCUGAGAGGGUGACCGGCCAGACUGGAACAGAGAGACGGUCCAGACUCCUACGGGAGGCAGCAGUGGGGAAUUUUGCGCAAUGGGAGAAAGCCUGAUAGAGCCAUGCCGCGUGUAUGAAGAAGGCCUUCGGGUUGUAAAAUACUUUUAGUGGGGAGGCGUUACCUGAAGAAGAAGCACCGGCUAACUCCGUGCCAGCAGCCGCGGUAAUAC
rnacentral:rRNA from 1 species